AUGGAGCAAAAUCUGAAAGAAGAGAGGCAAGCAAUUAUGGUUGCAAUGGAAGGGAAGACACUUACAUGGUCAUCUCAUGUGUGCAGAAGCAAAGCCCUCAUAAGGUCAUUAGCCAAUUUCCACUUGAUGCAGGGACUGUUUUCACUACAACGAAUGUGUUUAAGAUCCCGCAGGUUGUGUUUCUUAAAUACAAUUAUGAAUAGUUGUUGGUGA